ensembl:lncRNA
GGUUUAUUAAGCCUCUCCACACAUACUCGGGGCGACUUUUUUAUGAGUGCGCCUCCUUGGUGGUAAGAAAGCGGUCUACAGGCCCAUGCAGAGAGAGAGACAGAGGGAGGAGGAAGAGAAAGAAUCGAGUCACUGUGGUCGUGAACAGGAAAGACGUCGUCGCAUCUUGGCUGUGGACGCUGAUCUGAGGAAGCUGAGGAACGCUAUCAAGCUGCAGCUGCCAGUGGAUCAGAUCCAGCCUCAAAGAGCCAGUGUUUAACAGUUAACAUUUCUAACUGGAAACUGGAAUUUCUGGGUGGUGACUGCUCCAGUUUUUCUUUUUUUUCUUUGUUUUUCUAGAUUGUAUGCUAUAGUCACACUGGGGAAAACACUGGCACAAUUAAAAAUGUUGUGACUACGUGCAAUGAUUUUGCAAACUUGUUGCUCGUUGAAGACAGGUACCAGGUCUGUGACCACUCACAGUCAGCUGCCAUCUUGAAAGCUACUUCAAAACAACAAAAUAUAAGAAAACAAACAAACAAACAAAAAAAAAUAGAGUCAGCAUGGUUUCUCCAUCAGUUUACACUUGUAUGGGAUCAAGUGGGCAAUUCCAUUCCAUCUUUGAUAAAACAUCAAGCAACUAUGGUAAACUGAUGACAAUCGCAAAUCUGUUGUCGUCUGUAAAAAUAGAAAUUCACAUCAGGUACUUGCAUUCAGAGUCCAGGCAGAACCUCAUAAAUCUGAAAGAGAGAUUUGGAAAUCCUCCACAAAUAGUAACAUAGUUGUUGCAGGAUCGCGAUUUAACUGCCAAAUGACACAAUCACUCAGCAACCUUGCUUAAAUAUAGGAAUAUAACCAGAACACAAACACAUGAGUCAAGUGGCCUGUUGCAAUGAGAUACAACACAGACAACUGAAGAAGAUGCAGUGAGUCUAAGUCAGACUGCAACUGGUUGGAGACCAGUUGCCUCUCACCAGGCACUUGCCUCUCACUUUGCCAUGAACACCUGCA